CGACAAGAGUUUCCCAUUCGAGUGCCGAAACGAACACGGAGAGAAAUUUCGGAAAUGUCCACGUGCCGAUAUAUGACGUCAGAUACGCGAGCAGUUUCGGGUUCGCAGAUUACCGAUCACCUUUUGCUGCGUUUCCUCAACAUAUUAGUCCCAUGUUCAAGGGUCCGGACCUCUUCACGCAGUCACUCAGGAAGUAUCCCACCGACGGCUCGUCUGCGGAAUUCAUUCAAAGGAUAAUUGAUUAUACGAGAUCUAGGAAAUCUGCAAAGAAACAUUAUCCAAAAUGUCUUCGAAGUCUGUUAAGGAAAACAAUAAGUCAAACGCAAGCUGCGAAUAAUUACAAGUGUUCCAACGAAAAUAACGAAAGAAAAAGGCGU